rnacentral:rRNA from 1 species
UACGUAGGGUGCAAGCGUUAAUCGGAAUUACUGGGCGUAAAGCGUGCGCAGGCGGUAAUGUAAGACAGUUGUGAAAUCCCCGGGCUCAACCUGGGAACCGCAUCUGUGACUGCAUUGCUGGAGUACGGCAGAGGGGGAUGGAAUUCCGCGUGUAGCAGUGAAAUGCGUAGAUAUGUGGAGGAAUACCGAUGGCGAAGGCAGCCCCCUGGGCCAAUACUGACGCUCAUGCACGAAAGCGUGGGGAGCAAACAGG